rnacentral:rRNA from 1 species
CCUACGGGAGGCAGCAGUGAGGAAUAUUGGUCAAUGGGCGCGAGCCUGAACCAGCCAAGUCGCGUGAGGGAAGACGGUUUUCGGAUUGUAAACUUCUGUUCUUAGUGAAGAAUAAUGACGGUAGCUAAGGAGCAAGCCACGGCUAACUACGUGCCAGCAGCCGCGGUAAUACGUAGGUGGCAAGCGUUGUCCGGAAUUACUGGGUGUAAAGGGAGCGCAGGCGGGAAGCCAAGUCAGCUGUGAAAACUACGGGCUUAACUUGGAGACUGCAGUUGAAACUGGUUUUCUUGAGUGAAGUAGAGGUUGGCGGAAUUCCGGGUGUAGCGGUGAAAUGCGUAGAUAUUGCGCAGAACUCCGAUGGCGAAGGCAGCAUACCGGCGGCGAUCUGACGCUGAGGCACGAAAGCGUGGGUAUCGAACAGGAUUAGAUACCCCAGUAGUC